UGGGUAGGGGAGCGUUCUGUAAGCCUGUGAAGGUGGCCUGUGAGGGUUGCUGGAGGUAUCAGAAGUGCGAAUGCUGACAUAAGUAACGAUAAAGCGGGUGAAAAGCCCGCUCGCCGGAAGACCAAGGGUUCCUGUCCAACGUUAAUCGGGGCAGGGUGAGUCGACCCCUAAGGCGAGGCCGAAAGGCGUAGUCGAUGGGAAACGGGUUAAUAUUCCCGUACUUGGUGUUACUGCGAAGGGGGGACGGAGAAGGCUAUGUUGGCCGGGCGACGGUUGUCCCGGUUUAAGCGUGUAGGUGUGUGUUCCAGGUAAAUCCGGUUCACUUUAACACUGAGGCGUGAUGACGAGGCACUACGGUGCUGAAGCAACAAAUGCCCUGCUUCCAGGAAAAGCCUCUAAGCAUCAGGUAACAUCAAAUCGUACCCCAAACCGACACAGGUGGUCAGGUAGAGAAUACCAAGGCGCUUGAGAGAACUCGGGUGAAGGAACUAGGCAAAAUGGUGCCGUAACUUCGGGAGAAGGCACGCUGACACGUAGGUGAAGUGAUUUACUCAUGGAGCUGAAGUCAGUCGAAGAUACCAGCUGGCUGCAACUGUUUAUUAAAAACACAGCACUGUGCAAACACGAAAGUGGACGUAUACGGUGUGACGCCUGCCCGGUGCCGGAAGGUUAAUUGAUGGGGUCAGCGCAAGCGAAGCUCCUGAUCGAAGCCCCGGUAAACGGCGGCCGUAACUAUAACGGUCCUAAGGUAGCGAAAUUCCUUGUCGGGUAAGUUCCGACCUGCACGAAUGGCGUAAUGAUGGCCAGGCUGUCUCCACCCGAGACUCAGUGAAAUUGAACUCGCUGUGAAGAUGCAGUGUACCCGCGGCAAGACGGAAAGACCCCGUGAACCUUUACUAUAGCUUGACACUGAACAUUGAGCCUUGAUGUGUAGGAUAGGUGGGAGGCUUUGAAGCGUGGACGCCAGUCUGCGUGGAGCCAACCUUGAAAUACCACCCUUUAAUGUUUGAUGUUCUAACGUGGACCCGUAAUCCGGGUUGCGGACAGUGUCUGGUGGGUAGUUUGACUGGGGCGGUCUCCUCCUAAAGAGUAACGGAGGAGCACGAAGGUUGGCUAAUCCUGGUCGGACAUCAGGAGGUUAGUGCAAUGGCAUAAGCCAGCUUGACUGCGAGCGUGACGGCGCGAGCAGGUGCGAAAGCAGGUCAUAGUGAUCCGGUGGUUCUGAAUGGAAGGGCCAUCGCUCAACGGAUAAAAGGUACUCCGGGGAUAACAGGCUGAUACCGCCCAAGAGUUCAUAUCGACGGCGGUGUUUGGCACCUCGAUGUCGGCUCAUCACAUCCUGGGGCUGAAGUAGGUCCCAAGGGUAUGGCUGUUCGCCAUUUAAAGUGGUACGCGAGCUGGGUUUAGAACGUCGUGAGACAGUUCGGUCCCUAUCUGCCGUGGGCGCUGGAGAACUGAGGGGGGCUGCUCCUAGUACGAGAGGACCGGAGUGGACGCAUCACUGGUGUUCGGGUUGUCAUGCCAAUGGCACUGCCCGGUAGCUAAAUGCGGAAGAGAUAAGUGCUGAAAGCAUCUAAGCACGAAACUUGCCCCGAGAUGAGUUCU
rnacentral:rRNA from 2 species